UACAGAGGUCCCAAGCGUUGUUCGGAUUUACUGGGCGUAAAGGGUGCGUAGGCGGCCUGUUAAGUCGAACGUGAAAAUCCCCGGGCUCAACCCGGGAACUGCGUCCGAUACUGGCAGGCUUGAAUUCGGGAGAGGGAUGUGGAAUUCCAGGUGUAGCGGUGAAAUGCGUAGAUAUCUGGAGGAACACCGGUGGCGAAGGCGGCAUCCUGGACCGAUAUUGACGCUGAUGCGCGAAAGCCAGGGGAGC
rnacentral:rRNA from 1 species